rnacentral:rRNA from 1 species
CAGCCGCCACGGGAAUACAGAGGGUGCAAGCAUUAAUCGGAAUUACUGGGCGUAAAGCGUGCGUAGGUGGUGGUUUAAGUCCGUUGUGAAAGCCCUGGGCUCAACCUGGGAAUUGCAGUGGAUACUGGGUCACUAGAGUGUGGUAGAGGAUAGUGGAAUUUCCGGUGUAGCAGUGAAAUGCGUAGAGAUCGGAAGGAACAUCUGUGGCGAAGGCGACUAUCUGGGCCAACACUGACACUGAGGCACGAAAGCGUGGGAGCAAACAGGAUUAGAUACCCGCGUAGUCCCUGUCUCUUAUACC